rnacentral:lncRNA from 1 species
CCCUCGUACUUCUGUGAAGUCGCGGUUAGAUUCUUAGACGGAAUGCAGUUGAAGAAAACAAAAAACUGUAUGCAAUUUAUGAUACAAGGCAGAGCACAGCAUAUGAAACUGUCCAAGCGCAGAGCAUUCCCUCAGCCCUGAUGCCGAGCAUCCACUGCCCAGCAUCCUGCUGUCACUCCAGUCUUCUGCUUCUGCUGAGAUACUGUUGAGAGGAAAAUAAGAAAGUUGAGCUUUCUGCAGAGAAAAAACAAACAAACAAACAAACAAAAAACCCCAAUAUGUUUCUGUUGAAGAGUGUUUUGGCAAAAAAUGGCCAUCAACUUUUGAUUAAAU